UCCCAAUUGGGGUAGUCAGAGGUACUUCAAUCGAAAAAUGAACUAAGUACCCACACCCCACGGAGCUCUCUGUUAGACAAAAAUCGACUUUGACUAUAAAUUUAUGGCAUUGACAAUAAAUAUGUCAUUUAUGGUAAUCCCAGAUAUUUUUAUCACUGUCCCUUUUCUAAAUCGUUUGCUACCAUUAAGGUUUAUUACCUACUUAUACCCCUUCAAACAUACCUAACAUGAUUAGUGACAUUGACAUUAUAUCUCGUCUCUUUCAUACUAAGCUGUAUACCGUUUAUUAAGUGUGAAAUAGACAUACCUCGCGUCCCUUUCACACUAGGCGAUGGGUUAUAUCUCUCUCCUGCUGUCAUUUUAAUCAUGCUACGUUAAAAGUGGUAUAAGUCUAUUACGUGAAGUAGCAAUUUGAAGGCGACACUGGUUUCUAGCAGUCUAUAAAGUUCAUUGAACUCCUGUAUCGUUCGGAAUCGUAACUUCAAAGUUGAACUAUUUUGUUGAACAUGAUAAUAGUGAAACCACUUGCGAUAUAUUUUAUUUUAGAACAACAUACCUUAUUGUAAACACGUCAAUAAAAAAACAAAUUUUAACAUUGGCGAUAAUGUAAUAUCAACAAUUUUAGCUUUUGUUUUUAUUAGAUCUGUGAUUUGAAAUUAAUAUAAAUUGAAUUCGAGUUUCAAUGUUGAAAUAAAUAAAUUAUAAUUUAAGUAAAUAAGUUAUAUUUUGUUAUAAAUAAAUCUAUUCUUGUUAUAUU